GGUCCUGGGAGAGAGUUCAGAAACAAGUUGGUCCUUCUGGUCAUCUAGUGAAGGACACAGACUGUUGCCUGGCCUGUGCCCGAUGUGAGGGCCAGUGCUCAGGUGGCCCAAAGGGACAGCUUCCUGGAGAGGGGGUUUUGUGAGCUGGGCCUCAGGCACGCAGCAUUCAGGGAGAUGAAAUGGGGUUCCUUGAACAUGUAUUGUGUCCUGGGUUGUGACCAGGUGGAGAGGACCCAACCUUCCCUGCACACACUGCCCAGGGGUGGAUGAUUAGAGGAACAACAGGGCUCAGAUCACAUAGCUAAUGGCAGAUGCUGCUUUAAUCAGACUCAAAAUGGAGUCUGGCCUGUUUGAGAAGGUACCACAUGUUUCUUACAUGAAGGGCUUUAUCUCCCUCCGCUACAAUGGGAAGUGAGAUGGAGUUAGUAGGAGGAGACUUGGGGUUCUUAUCAGGCUUUACUGUCACAUGGUGGAGACCAUGGACCUGGACAUGCAGCUUUGGGUACGCUCCCCUGGGAGAGGCCUGGGAGCCCCAUUACCAACUCCAGGUUGAUAAAGACGUGUUGGGGGAGGGGUUAAAACAGGUAAGAAGCCACAGGCCAGGGAAAGGCAGGGAAAGUGAGGCCUGGUGGCUUAAUACCCUGGUUGGUGGGGUCUGUACAGCGUGCCCCCCAGGAGCCAGCAGGGGUCAGCAGUGGGCCUGGCCAGGGCUCCAACCUGGAGCCUGAACCUUUGCAGAGCAGGAAACGGGGUUAAAAACUAGCCACUGUAGUAAAGAAACCACCACAAUGAGAUAAUGGGUUGUAUCCAGGGACAGAACCUUGACACUUCCAUGGAAAUUAGACCUGACUCAGGAACUGAGAAAUGAGAGCCAGCUGAUUGGUUGAAAAGGAAAAUGGUGGCAAGAACCACCCUCUCGCAGCACCUGCAGUGAGGCUGGAGGAGCCAGACCAGCCUCAUGGUGGACAGUGGGCGCAGGGGUUCCCUUCCACAAGCUCACAAGAAGAAAGUAUACUGAGCCUGAAGCAGGAGAACAUUCACCAAUCAGCAAAAAACUGCGACACCAACACUUUGCUGUGAUGUGACAUACCGCCCGGACCUGUCCCACUUCCUGUGGCUCAGCUAUGGCCUGGGAACGGUCACUCAAGGCAAUCAAGAGAGAACCACAGCCCAGCUCAAGCAGGGCCCAGGCAAAGGGGGCCCCCAGGAGCCUGCACAACCCCAGCAAGGCCCCACCCCUGCAGGCAGGAAGCCUCAGGCUGCCGCUGAGUUGGGAAGGGCCGAGGCUACUGCUCCUCGGGCUGCCCACAGCUCUGGGUGGACAGAAAGCCCCAGAGUGAGAACAACCAGGGGAGACUCUGCCCAAAGCAUAAAAAUACCCCCAGGGGAGUCAGGAGAAAACUCCCCACCUUCUCACAGAGGAGCAGGCAGGGGAAGCCCAGGCACCAGCCCUGUCUGGUGGUGGGACAUUCCUUCAAGGCAGGGAGGAAAGCUGUUGGCAGGGAAGUGUUCCAGAAUGUUCCCUGAGAUCCCCAUGGAGAAGGCUGUUUCCUCUUAUGCUCAGGAUCCAUCCACUCUGAGCUGUGGAAGGAGGAACACAGCAGGCUCUUGGCCUCUUUCAUGUGACAGAUACCCCCCCAGGCCCCUGCGGUUUCUAACAUCCUGUAGGCGGCCCUGGUUUCAGAAGCCUUUGCAGAGAGGCCUUCUCUGCACCCCACGGCUCAGGCUGCAGCCACCAGUCUGGGCUCUGCCUGCCUGGAGCCUCAGCAGGCUUCCAGAGGGAGCCACUGUGUGUCCCCCAGCACCUGGCAAGUGACUGGGUGCCCAGAAUGAACUGAUGCGAGGGAGGUGGGGAGGGGAGCACAGAAGGAUGUCAUCACACGGAACACUUCUAAUUUGCCACCUCGGUCCCCUCCCCUUCCCUCCAUCACCCACUCACAGCUUUUAGAUGAGGCCAGUACAAGCACAUACCCCCUCCCACCUCCCCUUAUACACAAGUUGCUGCAUGCAUCUGAACCCACUACUCUCCUGCUCUACAACCAUCACUGGCUCCCACUUGCUUGCUGAGGAAAAUUGAGGCCCCUGUCACUUGGCUCCUUCCUGUCACCUGCUUCUCUCAGUGGUCCCACAAUUAAGUGGCUUGCUCCCUGUCACCGGAGGAUGUCCUGUACUUUUCCUCUAUUGUAACUUUCACUCCUGGCCAUGUCCUUUCACCUCCCACCCACCGUGUCAGUGCAGCCCACAUAGUGAAGUCCAACUGCAGGGGCCUGUGUGAACUGCCACAUUCUGCCAUUUCAGAGUACAGCUGACCUGGCUUUGGGGGCCUCUGACUCACAGGAAGACAUUGUGGGUUAUAGUUGGGUCAAAGGUACCUCUUAGGUGCUAGAAAGAAUUAAAGGAGAGGGUUUAGAAAUGGCGACAAGGGCCACAGCAUUAUCAGAGUGUGUGGCUUGGAAGUGGGAGGACACUGGUCCAACCCCAGCGAAAACAGCUUCCCUCUGGGUGGCCUUGGGCAAGUCACUGAACGUCCCCAUUGUUCACCUGCUUUCCCUAUCACCCCUGAAAAGGCAAAGAUCUGCUGAUGGGGAGCCUGUUCUCCUUUGUGGCUUUGGCUGAACCACUCUCUCCUGAGCAUCAGGUCUGUAGGGGCGCUGGGUUCUCGAAUGAAGACCUUAGGGGCAACCCCUGCCUCUCUGAGUUACGGGACAGUGACAAAGGCAGAGAGCUGGCAAGACAGCCGUGGCUCAUCGAUUGUCUGAGAAGCUGUUGGUUUUUGAAAUCAGACAGGAAGGCGGGUUGAGGUGGAGCCAGCACAGGAAGAGGUGAAGAGCCCCAGCUGCCUAGACAACCUGUGGGCUCUGGGACUGCAAGAACGGGUGGGCUGCAUUCGUGUUGCCCCGCGCAGUCAGCGCCUCCUGCCCGCUUCAGACAAGGCUUCACUCCUGUCCUGGACAGAUCCUGAGGGCUUGGGGCCCCACUGACCAGCCACAGAGAGACCCAGGACAUACCCACCACUACUCAGCUGCCUCUGGAUACUGGAGCAGGACUGAGCCCAGGAGCGCCGGGAUGGAGACCUCCCGGCCCCCCAGUCCUGGAAUCCCUGAGGCAACGAGGGCCAGGAGACCCCUGGAUGAGAGACGGCCAACCCCCACUCCAUGAGUUCCUAAGGCCCUGCUGGAGGGGCUGGCAUGGGCCAUACAUCCUGUCCACUGCAGGUUACAAAUGAGGACACCACGGCUCAGAGAGCUCAGGCGGCCUGCCCAGUGUCACAUAGCCACUCCUGGUAGCAAUCCUGGACUCCAUGAGGAAGCAGGAGUUGCGGAUGGGCGGGGAGGCUGGCCAGAGCCAUGGUGCUGGCUCCCCAGCAGAGCAAGUGAAAGCCCUCGUGGACCUGCUAGCUGGGAAAGGCAGUCAGGGCUCCCAGGCCCCACAGACCCCCAACAGGACACCGGACACCCCGCUGGGUCCUCAUGGCAAUGACUUGAGGAUACAGAGGCACUGGGACGCCCUGCUGAGCAGAGCGGGAGGCGGCCUGGGGCCAGGCGGCCCCUCACCCAGGCUGACCAACCUCCUGCUGGUGGAAGGCCUGACAGACCUGCAGCUGAGGGAACACGACUUCACCCAGGUGGAGGCCACACGCGGGGGCUGGCACUCCACCAGGACCAUCGCCCUGGACAGGCUCUUCCUGCCUCUGUCUCGGGUAUCCAUCCCGCCCCGUAUCUCCAUCACCAUUGGGGUGGCCGGUGUGGGCAAGACCACCCUGGUGAGGGAAUACAUCCGCCUCUGGGCCCGUGGGCAGGUCGGCAAGGACUUCUCGCUGGUGCUGCCUUUGACCUUCCGGGAUCUCAAUACCCACGAGAAGCUGUCUGCAGACAGACUUGUCCGCUCUGUCUUUCCACAUGCCGGGGAGUCCGGCGUGGAAGUAGCAGACCUGGCCAAAGUCCUCCUUAUCCUGGACGGCCUGGAUGAGUGCAAGACACCUCUGGACUUCUCCAACACCAUGGCCUGUACCGACCCCAAGAAGGAAAUUCAGGUGGACCACCUGAUUACCAACAUCAUCCGAGGCAACCUCUUCCCAGAACUUUCUGUGUGGGUCACCUCCCGCCCCAGCAUGGCUGGCCAGAUCCCAGGGGGCCUGGUGGACCGGAUGACUGAGAUCCGGGGCUUUAAUGAGGAGGAGAUCCAAGAGUGUUUGGAACAGAUGUACCCCGAGGACCAGGUCCUCUUGGGCUGGGUCCUGAGCCAGGUGCAGGCCAACAGGGCCCUGUACCUGAUGUGCACCGUCCCAGCCUUCUGCCAGCUUGCGGGGUCGGUGCUGGGCCACUUGUGCCACCACAGGCGGGGGCCCCAGGACACAGAGCUGUGGCCUCCAAGGACUCUGUGUGAGCUCUACUCUUGGUACUUCAGGAUGGCCUUCGGCGGCGAGGGGCAGGAGACGGGCAAGGCGAGCCCUCGCAUUGAGCAGCUGGCCCACGGCGGCCGCAAGAUGGUAGGGACGCUGGGCCGGCUGGCGUUCCACGGGCUGGUCAAGAAGAAGUAUGUGUUCUAUGAGCCAGACCUGAAGGCAUUCGGUGUGGACCUGGCUGUGCUGCAGAGCGCUCUGGGCAGCUGCUUCCUACAGCGAGAGGAGAUCCUGGCCUCCUCGGCAGCUUACUGCUUUGCCCACCUGUCCUUACAGGAGUUCGUGGCGGCCGCAUACUACUACAGCGCGUCAAAGAGGGCCAUCUUCGACCUCUUCACUGAGGGUGGCAUGUCCUGGCCCCGGCUGGGCUUCCUCACGCAUUUGAGGAGUGCGGCCCAGAGGGCCGUGCAGGCUGAGGACGGGCGACUGGAUGUGUUCCUUCGCUUCCUCGCGGGCCUCUUGUCUCCACGGGUCAAUGCCCUGCUGGCUGGCUCCCUGCUGGCCCUGGGCGAACACCAGGGCUCCCGGAUCCAGGUGGCUGAGCUCCUGCAAGGCUGCCUGCGCCCCGACGUGGCAGUCAGCGCCCGGGCGGUCAAUGUUUUGCACUGCCUGCAUGAGCUGCAGCACACGGAGCUGGCCCGCAAUGUAGAGGAGGCCAUGAAGAAUGGGGACCUGGCCGGGCUGACUGGCCCCCAGCACCGUGCCGCGCUGGCCUACCUCCUGCAGGUGUCGGACGCCUGUGCCCAGGAGGCCAACCUGUCCCUGUGCCUCAGCCAGGGCGUCCUCCAGAGCCUGCUGCCCCAGCUGCUCUACUGCCAGAGCCUGAGGCUGGAUGCCAACCAGUUCCAGGACCCCGUGAUGGAGCUGCUGGGCAGCGUACUGAGUGGGAAGGACUGUCGUAUUCAGAGGAUCAGCCUGGCUGAGAACCAGAUCAGUAAUAAAGGGGCCAAAGCUCUGGCCAGAUCCCUCCUUGUCAACAGAAGUCUGACUGCUCUAGACCUCCGCAGUAACUCCAUUGGACCGCAAGGAGCCAAGGCGCUGGCAGAUGCUCUGAAGAUUAACCGCGUUCUGGCCUCUCUGAGCCUCCAGAGCAACAGGAUCAGGGAUGAUGGUGCCAGGUCCAUGGCUGAGGCCUUGGCUGUCAACCGGACUCUCUCCGUGCUGCACCUGCAGAAGAACACCAUCGGGCCCAUGGGAACCCAGCGGAUGGCAGAUGCUCUGAAGCAGAACAGGAGUCUGAAGGAGCUCAUGUUCUCCAGUAACAGCAUUGGCGAUGGAGGUGCCAAAGCCCUGGCUGAGGCCCUGAAGGUGAACCAGGGCCUGGAGAGCCUGGACCUGCAGAGCAAUUCCAUCAGUGACGCAGGAGUGGCAGCGCUGAUGGGGGCCCUCCGUGCCAACCAAACCCUCCUCAGCCUCAACCUGCGAGAAAACUCCAUCAGCUCAGAGGGAGCCCAGGAUCUGGCUCGAGCUCUCUGCACCAACAGCACCCUGAAGAACCUGGACCUGACAGCCAACCUCCUCCAAGACCAGGGCGCCCAGGCCAUCGCAGUGGCAGUGAGAGAAAACCGCACCCUCACAUCCCUUCACCUGCAGUGGAACUUCAUCCAGGCCAGUGCCGCCAAGGCCCUGGGACAAGCACUACAGUUCAACAGGAGCCUGACCAGCCUUGAUUUACAGGAGAAUGCCAUCGGGGAUGAAGGCGCCUGUGCAGUGGCCAACGCGUUGAAGACAAACACAGCCCUCACUGCUCUCUAUCUCCAGGUGGCCUCCAUUGGUGCCUUGGGGGCCCAGGCCCUGGGAGAGGCCCUGACUGUGAAUAGAACCUUGGAGAUUCUCGACUUAAGAGGAAAUGCCAUUGGGGUGGCCGGAGCCAAAGCCCUGGCAAACGCUCUGAAAGUCAAUUCAAGUCUCCGAAGAAUCAACCUUCAAGAGAAUUCCUUGGGGAUGGAUGGGGCAAUAUGUGUUGCCAAUGCACUGUCUGGAAACCAUGGGCUCCAGCACAUCAAUCUCCAGGGAAAUCGUAUUGGGGAAUCUGGUGCCAGGAUGAUUUCAGAGGCUAUCAAGACAAAUGCUCCCUCAUGCACUGUUGAAAUGUGAGCCAAACCAGUUCCUGGUGGACCAGGCAGGAGGAUGGGCAGAGACACAGCUAGAAGCUUUCAAACAAAAAUACCAUUUUCCAGGGUGCCUUCCUGUGGUCUGGGAAUGCCACUGACCUGCAUGUUAGCUGAUCUCGGGCAAGGAGGCAGGAAAGGUACUGCCAAAGGUCAUGGGCACCUCUCCUGGUCCAGGGUCAGUCCGGGCCCUCUUGAGAUGGACACUCUGCUAUGGCACACAGAGGUCUUCCACCAAACAACCCAGGAACCUAGGCUUUAAAGCUCAGCAACUACCACUGUGGCUGCAGCUUCCCUCUGAAGACAAGCGAGCUGAGCUUCCGCGUGGCAUCAAUCCCCGCAGACGUCUGUUUGUGUUGAAAGGGAAAAGAUCCCAAAUGGACACCACAGCUCUCAUCAACGAAAUAACCAAGGGAAAUGCUUAUGAAGAUUAUAAAAUAUCAUUUUUAUAUUUGAAGAGGAAGCAAUGUUGUCCCAAAUGUUUCUUUGAGUAUUCAGGCAAGAAUCAUCAAUGGAUGCUAAAACCAUGAAUGAAAGCCUAUUAAGGAAGAAGAUAUCCACAGUCUCAAAGUAUCACCCCACAAAGGGUGUUUAUAAGGGGGAAAAGAUACCUUAAAUAGAGAACUUUUAAAAGUGCUGCCUUAACAAAGUGAUUAAACUUAAUCACCAAUAAUGGGACAAAUGGACAUCAGGGGCCCCUGUGAUACACUGAGAAGGACACAUCACUGAUGUAGUAUUCUUGCCAAAAAGGUUUACCUGAAUCUAAGCCAACAACAUCCAAAUUAAGGGACAUUCUGCAAAACCACCAACCAAACAACUAGCCUGACCUCUUCAAAAAUGUAAAUGUCAUGAAAAAUAAACAAGACUGGGGACUGUUUUAAAUUGAAGAAGACAAAACAACUUAAUGUAAGCUCUUUGAUUGGAUGCUAGACUGGAGGGGGGAAAAAUCAGUUAUAAAGAACAUCACUUGGAAAUUGGGGACAUUUGAACAUGAGUCUUGUGUAGUAUUUAUUGGAUUAGCUCUUCUAAAAGAUAUUUUUGCUGGAUAUAAAAUUCUACAUUGAAAGUUUUGUCUUCAGUACUUCCUAGAUGUUGCUAUAUUGUCUUCUGGUUUGUGCUAUUUCUGGCUGAGUUGAGAACUCAACAGAACAAGAGCUGCAGUAGCCAAAUGUUGGAGAAAGGUGUGCCAUGCAGGAACCUAGCACUGGAGAAAGCAGUAGAGAAAAAGUGCGCUCUCCAGGGAUUUUGAGAUCAAGCCACACUAGAACUGGGAGAGCCUCUACCUCCUCUAAAGUCGCUCGAGCACCCUCUGCUGACAAGGCUUAACAUCUUGCUGGCUGACAAAGGAGAAACAUUACAAGAAAUAGCUCCGUUAUCAUAGAGCAGGCCAAAAGGUGAAUUUGCAGCUGAGGCAAUAAACUGAUAGCCAAUAGCCAGCACAGUGGGAUUUGUCUUGUUUUACAUUUUGGACAGUUUCUACUGCUAUUCUGUCUUCAAGGUCAGUCAUGUUUUCUCCUGCAGUGUCUGAUCUACUCUUAAUCCCAGUUUGUAUAGUUUCAUCUCCUUUUUUUAAUCUCUAGAAGUUUUGUUUGAGGCUUUCUUUAUACCUUCCAUCUCUCUCCUUAAUAUGCUCAUGCUUUCCUCUACAAUCUAAAUAUAUAGAAUGUAAUUAUAACUGUUUGAAUGUCUUUUUCUACUAAUUCUAUCAUCUAUCAUUUCUGGGUUUGUUUGGGUUUUUUUGCCUGUUUCUUGAUUUUUCUCAUUAUGCCUGGUAAUUUUUUUAUUGGAUACCAGACAUUGGGAAUUUUACCUUUCUGGGCACUAUUUUUAUAUUCCUUAAAAUAUUCUUGAGCUUUAUUCUGGGACUCAAUUACUUAGAAACAGUUGAAUCUUUUCAAAACUUGCUUUUAAGCUUUGUUAGCCAGGAUCAGCCAUUCUUUAUUCUAGGGCUACGUGGGCCCACCUUCUGAAGCAAUGCCCCAGUAUUCUGGGUACUCUACCUGAUGCCCAAGUCAAGAAAACUAUCUAUCUACAAUAGACACUGUAGAAAUCCAGGUGUAAAAGAUUGUGAAAUCAGCUUUAGCUUUCUUACCCUAAAUAGUAGCAUCUACCCAACUGGUUACCUGGUAUGCAUGUUUUCAAUAUAAAGUAUGAAUUUAAGCAGAAUGACUCCUAAUGUAGACUUUACUUCAUCAAUUUCUCUGUCAUUCAACCCCUCCCAUUCCAUGACCGGGAGUUCCCUUCAGCUAAAAAACAUGUUUCCUUGCAUAAAUAAAUAAAUAAAUGCAAGCACUCUGCCCCUCCAAAAUCUUCUUUGCCCUCUCUUCUCACUUGUGACCAGCCACUUUUCUGAACAGUCAUCAAUACUCACUGUGUUGAUUUCAAACUCCAGCCUCUUUUCAACCCAUCAAUUGCUAUCUGACUUCUGGCUAAAGUCACCAGAGAUUUCCUAAUUGUCAACAUUAAUGGCCUUUCUGACUCAACUUCAUUUGCGACAAGGACCUAGCACUUGUUCACCUCUCUCUUCCUUGGAAAUUCUCCCCUGCCUUGGCUUUCAUAACAUUACAACCUUCCAAUCCUCCUGCCCUCUCCUUACCACUCUUCUUCAACACUCUUUGAAAAAUUAAAAGUACUUUUUCCUAAUUAUUAAAGUAAAAUAUAGUCACUUUAGAAAACUUAGAAAAUACUUUCCCAGCCUCUUUUUCUGGCUCUUUGGUGGACUUUUCCCUUUAGACACAGGUGUCUCUCAGGUUUUCACCCUUAGCCCUCUUCUCAUCCCACAUGUUUUCUCCUGAGGAAUCUGAUAUGCAAAUGAUCCAGCCCUUACCUCUUUCCUGUCGGUAUAUUUAUCUUUUUAAAAAUUCAUAUUCAUCAAAGCAACAUACAUAGUAAUACACAUAGUUUACAAAGCCAAAGAGUAUUGCUAGGUUUAUAAUGGAAAACAGCAAUCUUUUGUCCUGUUCCUCCCCUUUUUGAAUACCCCACCUCAUAAAACUAAGUAUCCUACAUACACUAUUUCUUGCUUUAUCAUUUUAGAGAGUAUCUAUUGACUUUCUAGUAUGGGAAAUGGCACUUGUUACGUACACCUUAUAUCCCUACUUUUUGUUUCUCCAUCCUUUCAACAUUGUUAUAGCACGAUUUUUAGUUAAAUCAUUAUUUAAUGUUUAUCUUACGACUUUAUUAGUACUGAUCAUUGCUGAGCUAUUUUCUUCCUAUAUAAUUGUUCUGUCUAGAAUUAACAGCUGCAUUAUUUUUAAAAUUUACUUAACAUUCUAUGUCACUACUGCUUAAUCUUUCCAAACUGUCCAAUCGAAGUGUAAAAUCUAAACACUAUUUCUUACAGACGCAUUGGUUAUUCGGUUAGUUCCGUUUUUCCCUAAUGGCAUCUCUUCUUGAACCCUUUGUCUUCCUGCUCCAGUCACAUCCUUACGGAAAGACUUUUGUUCUGAGUAGGAGGUAGAACCUUUUAGUUCCCUUCCAAUUCAACCAGUCCUGGAUUCUAGCACCCAAGAGUCUCCUGGGCCAAUCUAACAGCUGUGAUAUUUAUGUAGUAUGUUGCUAACCUAGAGAGACACACUUUCCCUUCAGUUUGACACUGAUACUAUAGUUUAAAAUGCUAAUGAAAGAGAUCUUGCAUUUAUUUCUUCUUGCCCCAGCUAAAAUGGAAACAAGUUCUUCAGAUAGCUAACUGGAAGUCCCUAGACUUUGUUCUUGAUGGCUACUCCAAUAAAAACAGAGGACUUAAAAACUUCCUCUAUAUCUUCUGUCAAUACACAUAUUUUAAAGCAUUUUAAUAGAUUCUUUAAUUUACACAGUUAAAAAAAAACUGUCAGCAAUGCUUGUUUUUCAUUGACCUAAUCAUACAAUUUUCUUCGGGGCCUGAGUCUGCUCUGCUGUUUGGCUAAAUCCAAAUGACACCACGUCACAAAGCACUUGCACAUAUUUGACUCCUGGAGCCAUUACAGUGACCGAAAUACACUACUAACUAUGAUCAAGUACUUGAAGCCCCUUUGUUGACAGAAGCUGCUGAAGUCAGGAAGUGCCAUACCAACAUGAGACUGCACAAAGUCAGUUAACCAAAGGAUGAAGGAAUCACCCUUUACAGCUGUUGCCGCUACCUGUGGAUGUGUUAUCUGUAGCUUGGGUCAGACUUCCAUGCUAAUCCCCAUUAGAAGAAAGCAGCACAUAAGAAAAACAUAUACAUUUUUAGGUUUUUUUUCAAAAUAUAAGUCAGGCCAGACUCAGGAAAACCAAAGCUAUAACAUCCAAGAAGAUGCAGUGACUCUUUUGCUCUGAGGUAAUUAGCAUGGUUCCCAUCACACCUAUUCCCAUUUAGCUUAUCAUUUUAAAGAUGGCACAUCUCAAAUUACUGGUGAAUUCACUGAAUGCAGAAUGUUUAAAAAAAGGGGUAAUCUCAUCCAUAAAACUUAGGAAAAUAAAGGGGAAAAAAGCAAAGAUGAUAAAAGUAAUUGUCAGUCUCCUAAAAUUUACAUGUAUCAUAUUAACCUGUGAAAUUUUCUUGAGUAUUUAUGUUAUUGGUGCAAAUAAACAAAAUAAUUAUAGUUUCAAGUAAAACUUAUUUAAUAAUAUAAAAAUAUGGUAUUAAAUACAUGUAUUAAGAGAUAAGUAACUUCAGGACUCUUCUGACUUUAUAAUUGAAAAAGAAAUGAAAACUGUUCUGUGCUUUCCAUAUUAAAAAACCAAAACAACGCCACCUAUCUGUCACUUCUCAUUUCACAACAGGGAAAUUCUAGUGCUACUCCACCUAAUUCAAUUCUGGUUUAUUUUUUUAAAUCAGAAGCACGAAUCUGUACUAACAUGUUUUCCUUAAUUUGAUUUCCUAAAAAAGAAUGUCAGCCUUCUGAUAUAAAAUCGAGUAUUUAUAAUCUGGAGGAUCUAUGUGUUGCCUGACUUUCAAGAAAAAUUGGUUUUCAUCUAACUUAGCUAACUUUCACUCAGAAAAUUUUAGUAAAAUAAAUUUAAAGCUUGGUAUUGUGAGCAUGCAGAAGAAAAUAAGACUAUAAAAUGAAAUAAAGGCUAGAAUUAAAAGCUUAUAAAUUGUACAAGAUAUUAAUAGUCAGACACUCAGCUAUAAUUCCUAAAGUGAGUUCUUGUACCCAGUCCCAGCCCCACGUCUGUCCCUCUGACUCUCAGAGGAAAUGUGUAACAACGAUAGCCAAGACUCACAUAGAAACUUAUUUCUCCUCAAGUUUUUGUCCUGUGGAUGUGAAUAACUAAGAACACAUGCAUUUCCCAAGUUUUAGGAGAUAAAUGAGG